GUAGAAGCCGCUUUAUUUGCGUAGAAAACACAAGAAAAUUUGUACUUGAAAGAUUUGAUUUUUGAGUUAUGUAUUUAGCUGUGAUUAUAUGUGUAUAUCCGUGUCUGUCUGUCUGUCUGUCUGUAACUGUAUGUCUUUGUGUAUGUGUCUAAGUAUGUGUGUCUGUAUGUGCCUCUGUGUUUGUGUGUGUGUCUCUGUGUGUCUGUGUGUGUCUCAGUGUGUGUACCUGUGUCUACAUGUCUGUGUAUGUCUAUACAUGUGUCUUUGUGAAUGUGUGUGUGUGUUUGUGCGUCUAUAUGUGUCUGUGUGUGUCUCUCUAUGAGUGUAUCUAUGUAUGUGUCUGUGUGUAUCUCCGUGUGUCUGAACCUGUGUCUGUGUAUGUCUGUGUGUAUGUGUUUGUACAUGUGAAUCUGUGUGUGUCUGUGCGUAUAUGUGUGUGUUUGUGUGUCUGUGUAUAUGUGUGCCUGUGUGUGUUUGUAUGUAUUUGUCUCUGUGUGCUUGUUGAUGAAAGUGUGAAGCAUUCAAAGGUGAAUAUGACACGUGGGACUUCCAUACCCAUACAGCUCAUGGUGUGUGUGUGUGCACUCAGAAGUCCUGCAAGUCCAUAAAAUAAUCAUAUGCAAUAAAUAAAUGAUCAAAAAUUACAUGACAAAGUGAGUUAGAGAGUAAUUAGAGGACAAGUGAGGGGUGUGUCACUAAAUGUAUGGCAGAAGGCCCCCUUUCACACUCUGGGGCAUCAUGGAAAACUGUUAUCUAUAGGUAAUACAUAAUUCCCAUGAAAAGUUUACAUGAUCCACAUCUGUGCAUAUAGCCAAAGCAAUGUGUAUGAGAACUUUAUGCAAACAGCAAUGGCAGUGCCCAACAGCCUCAGUGGGGAACCACAUACUAGGUUCUCUCUCUCUCUCUCUCUCUCUCUCUCUCUCUCUCUCUCUCUCUCUCAUGAGUCUACAGCAGAGGCAGAUUUCCACCUGCAUCUCCUUGCAAGUCUUGAGGUGAGUAAAAUGGGAGUCCUUGUUCUCAUGGCUGUGAAGUUACUUACUUUCUCAAUCUUCAGGCCACUGUCAUCAGUCACUGGGACGAAACAUUCCCAUAGACUAGAGAGUGGCAUAAAUAUUCUCCAGCUCUCCACUGUGCAGCUCUAUCCCUAGCCUUUCUCCUCUUUAGUUUCUUCUUUUUGAAGAACUGAGAAUUUCCCACAUGCAUAAUGGACUGUGAUCAAACCCACCUCUGCUUUCCCUCCCUUCAAUCCCCCCUCUUCACAUUGUCACUGUCCUUCCCCCACAUUUAUAACUCUCCUCCUCUUCUUCUCUUCCCUCCCCCUUUCUCAUUUUCCCCCUCCUCCUCUUCUUUGUCAUUGUCAUUACUGUCUGU
rnacentral:lncRNA from 1 species